rnacentral:rRNA from 1 species
CCUACGGGAGGCAGCAGUAGGGAAUCUUUCACAAUGGGCGAAAGCCUGAUGGAGCAACGCCGCGUGCAGGAUGAAGGCCCUCGGGUUGUAAACUGCUUUUAUAAGCGAGAAAUAUGAUGGUAACUUAUGAAUAAGGAUCGUCUAACUACGGGCCAGCAGCCGCGGUCAUACGUAGGAUCCGAGCAUUAUCCGGAGUGACUGGGUGUAAAGAGUUGCUUAGGUGGCAUAAUAAGUAGCUAGUGAAAUCUGGUGGCUCAACCAUUCAGACUAUUAGCUAAACUGUGAAGCUCGAGACCGUUAGGGGUAACUGGAAUUUCGAGUGUAGGAGUGAAAUCCGUAGAUAUUAGCAGGAACACCAAUAGCGUAGGCAGGUUGCUGGGACGGUUCUGACACUAAGGCACGAAAGCGUAGGGAGCAAACGGGAUUAGAUACCCUGGUAGUC